UCAAGGCAUUAAUGCCAAAUAUUCUAUAAGAUUCACAAAUCUUCCAAAGAUUAGCCAAAUCCAAGCAUAUCUUGCAAAAUCCUCUCUCACUCCUCACUCCCUCAUUUUCGAUCACCACCAUCUCCCCUUCAUCUCUCUACUUUCCACCAUUUUCCUCCAUUGAUGCACCUUCGAAGCUUCACCAAAAUAUGUCAAACACAUAAAUCACCAACAAAAUCCCACCUUAAACACCUUCCAUCUCCUUAGAUUCAAGAAGAUCCAUGGAGAUUCAAUCUUGAAGUUAGUAAGAGAAAAUUUGAUUUUUGGUGUAAACUUGGACACGAGCAGAGCAGGGAAGUAAGUAACUCCGCUUUGACGGGAGUUUUUGAGUAAGGUCUUCAGACUAAGCGAGGAGCGAGAUUGGUCUGGUGCUGGCGGGGAAAUGUUGGAGGAUGUAUUUACUUUAUCGUACUUCCAUUUUGACGAUAAAG